UACGGGGGGGGCAAGCGUUGUUCGGAAUUACUGGGCGUAAAGGGCUCGUAGGCGGCCAACUAAGUCGGACGUGAAAUCCCCAGGCUCAACCUGGGAACUGCGUCCGAUACUGGAUGGCUUGAAUUCGGGAGAGGGAUGCAGAAUUCUAGGUGUAGCGGUGAAAUGCGUAGAUAUCACUUGGAACGCCAAUGGUGAAAACAGCUCGCUGGGAAUGAUCUGACACUGAGACGCGAAAGCCAGGGAGCGAACGGG
rnacentral:rRNA from 1 species